rnacentral:rRNA from 1 species
GACGAACGCUGGCGGCGUGCUUAACACAUGCAAGUCGAACGGAAAGGCCCUGCUUUUGUGGGGUGCUCGAGUGGCGAAAGGGUGAGUAACACGUGAGUAACCUGCCCUUGACUUUGGGAUAACUUCAGGAAACUGGGGCUAAUACCGGAUAGGAGCUCCUGCUGCAUGGUGGGGGUUGGAAAGUUUCGGCGGUUGGGGAUGGACUCGCGGCUUAUCAGCUUGUUGGUGGGGUAGUGGCUUACCAAGGCUUUGACGGGUAGCCGGCCUGAGAGGGUGACCGGCCACAUUGGGACUGAGAUACGGCCCAGACUCCUACGGGAGGCAGCAGUGGGGAAUAUUGCACGAUGGGCGGAAGCCUGAUGCAGCAACGCCGCGUGCGGGAUGACUGCCUUCGGGUUGUAAACCGCUUUCGCCUGUGACGAAGCGUGAGUGACGGUAAUGGGUAAAGAAGCACCGGCUAACUACGUG